rnacentral:lncRNA from 1 species
CCGGUGUUAAAAUUCCUUCCCCACCCUGUCGUAAAUAUUUAAAAACCUUCCCAUAAAUGCUUGAAGCCCACCAACCAAAGCCUGUCCCAUCAGUGUUUCCGCAGGCCAGCCUGUUCUCCCUAACCCCUUAAAUUUUGCCCCAAAUCCUGAAUGGGGAGACAGAUCUGAGGGCACAUGCCCCUUGUCUCCCUGCAGGUGGAUCUCACAGAAUAAAAGCUGAUGUGUCCCCCACAGACUGAUGCUAUAAUUAAUUGGCUUGUUUAUGUGCAUCGGGCAGAGGACUCCGAGUUUGUGCAGUAACAAUUGGCGCCCCUGGUGGGAUGAAGGUCCUGUGACCACCUGCCAGAAGCUCUGGAAGCCCCAGCAGAGUGUGGGGUCUUUUCAUCGACCCUAAGCGGCCGCCUAGACAAUUUGUCUAGAGGCUUGACUGAUUAGAUUCCUAUUUUGCUGUGGUGUUCCAGGCCCCAAGGCAUUUUUUUUUUCCCCUUUGGGAGAAGAAACAGCUUCUGGAUCAAGACGUCUCUGGGCUCUGGAGGCUCGUUCCUGGCCAUUGCUGACCCUGGACUCAGGUGUAGACGGCCUUGCUUGGCCCCCACGACCGUCCCGCUCUGCCCAUUUCUGUCCGAGAGGCUGAAUGCGAAGCUCGGAGAAGGCGGCCGGCCCUGCUGUCCCAUCAGAGAGGCCUCAGAGGGCCCACAGCCAUUGCCAGGUAGGGUCCCUCCCGGGGCCUUCUGGUUUUCCUCACUCACAGGUGAAGUUGAAGGGAGGGGAUGGGCCAGGCGCAGAACUGAUGCUUUUGUGGUCAAAGUCUUAUGUUUCUCUCCUGGGUGGGGCUCAAGAGGUUUUCCCGAGAACUCUGCACUGUCGGCCUCCAAGCGGGUGCCAGAAUCACGGGUGGCAGAGGAGGGAAAAGUAGACCGUGGAAGGGCCGAGGGUUGAGCCUCACUUGCGUUCAGAUCAGCCGACUCCAAGGACAGGAGGGGUGGGCGCCAGCGGAAAUUCAGCCCAGACGUGAUACUGGGUGCUUCGAGCAUCUGAGGGCUGCCUGGGUCGUCUUGUUCUUCUUUUUCCCAGGCCUUCGUUUGUGUUCUUUUCCUGAUUUCCAUCUUGAGCAGCUUUGGCGCAUCAGGGUUGGCAACUGAGGGGCUAUCCGUCUCUCCCUCCCUAUGUGUGGGGCCUCCCCGGAAUGAGGCUACUGGUCGGUGGCAGGACAGGUGCCCUUGCUGGGACUGGAGGUGUGCUGACCCGGGGAAGAACAAGACCUUGAUCAUGUUCCACCGGGAGAGGAACUCGACGCGCCAGCUCAUGCGGCCGUGGCCUGAGUUGGGAAAUGGCCAACAGGAGUGAGCUGGAGCUGUGCUCAUGGCAGUAGUGUCCAGUGGGAUUCCGGUCAAGUCAGCUGGAGGUUCUGCUGGCAGGGUGGAGGCCAGAGGUAUAGGGGUGUGGGUCAGAGGACUCAGGGAAUGUGCUGGAGUCACGGUGAGAGUAGCACCUGCCACAGGCUUUCCGCAUGGCUGCUGGGCUCUGGCGUAUGCUGUGUUGCUCGCCUCCCCAGGGUAGUCUUGACAUGAUGAGCGAUGGGAGCAUCCCUUGGAAGACAGCCUCCCUGGGGAGCUGCGGGAGACAGGAGGCACCAGCUGCAGCCGGGAGCAGAGGGGCCCGGGACAGCAGGGCAGUCCAGGCGGGGGUGGCCCCUUGGGAGCCAUGGCCCUCCAUGGCCCCACCUCCACUUCACCAAAUUCUCCUGCUCUCCCUCACCGCAGGCCUUUGGCCACCCCUGUCCCCAUGGCUCCCCUCCCAGCUCUGCCCCAAUCUGCCUGCAGCCCUGGGGCCACACCAGAGACUCUGGGAGCAAGAAGUCCGGGAGAGAAGGGCAAGAUCCCUUACCUGUGCGAAAGCGACACCUGGCCCCGCACUUCUGCCAGGCCCUUCCCAGCAGCUCUGGAAGCUAGAAAUCCGGAGACUGGGUCACAGCACUGAAAGCGGGGCGGGGGCGGCGGGGGCGGUGGAUAGGGCUCUUACAGGAGGCUGCGUGCACUGUGCCUUUAGGGGAGUCUGUUGGGAGGUCAGACUGUCGAACCUGGGCACCAGUGUCCAAGGCCACCGGAUCCCUGAUGGGGCUGGCAAGGCUGCUGAUGGGUUGAGCUAUGUCAUUGACCACGCGCUUCCACCUCCACCACAGCCCACAUGCCCCGGCUGGACGAGACCCUGUUCCAGGCCCCUCCUGGCCCGGGCCCUGGUUCCCAGCACAGAAUGUGGCAAGUCCUCAGGUUUUCGUCUCCCUCCCGCAAACCUCCCUGAGUGUUCUGUUUCCUGAGGGACGGGUUCUGCCCCUGGCAUCCUCGAGCCCGUGGAGCUGGGCACUCAGGGACAGGAGAUGGGGGGGCCAGCUCUGGGGCACGGGGCUGAAUGGCAGGAGCUUACCUUUCAAAGCUCCCCUUUUCUUCCUGCUCCUGCUGCUCUUCCCUCUUGGCUCCACUUGACGCUGAAGUGAGAGAAAAAAGAAGCAGCUGUGGGGGCUCCCUCUCCUGUCUCUGGACCAGCCGUGGACACUUAGCGCUUAUGAGGAAGAUGACUGCCUACACUCAGCUCCUGGCGCCCGGGGGUGUUUCUUUCCUUUUACUCAUUUUUGAAGUGGAGACUAGAACAUGAAACGGAUCUUUGGUGUCUUCCUUCUUUGGAGAACGUGAGGAAGGAUGAUUUUCUGUGUGAGACCCACCAUGGAUUUCUUUCAUCACUGUUCCUCUGUUCAAGAAUCACGCACAUUCGCAGACGUCCAGAAGCUUCUGAGCUUCCUCAGGGAGGACUCUGCUUCCCGAGGCCCGAGCCCCACUCCAGACCCUGCCUGGAGGCUCUCGGGGGCUCAGCACUGCCCUCAGAUCAGUCCCGACAGAGGAAAGGCCUGCUCAAGACGCCUGCCCCAGGAAGGCGGUGGGGGAACCAGAGCUCAAGACCUGUCCUCCCACACAGAUCCCACUCAGCAUCCCUUCCUCAGCCUCUGGUCACUGGACUGGGGACUUUCCCUGGAGCCCUCUACCACACCUGGACUCCUGCUCUGAGAUCUUCCGAGGGAAAUCCUCGUGCCCUCUCUAAUCCCUGCUCGCCCAGCCUGGCUUGUCCGUGGAAGGAUGAUGUUGUAUUCUCUGCCAGUUCCGGAGUCCCUCUACUUUGAUUCAGAAUCUUGGAAAUGACAGUGGAACAGAAGAGAGACUCAUCUUCUGGUGGGUCUCUGCCCAGGGUUUCUUACCUUCCUUAUGUUUCUGCGUUCACAAGGUGGUCGUGAGGAUGGAUUCCUCUGCAGGGAGGGAAGGCACAGGAGGAAGAGCCCCAGUCCACACAGGAAGGGGAGGAUGGUCCCAAUCACCCAGGAAGUGGAACUGGAGCUCGGCCAGGUAGCAAAGAGGCUUUUCAGAAACAUGAGAGGAUUCUGCAUGUCUGAAACGCAGUGCUGCCCUCAGGCGACUGAGCUCUGGGAGUGGCUUGGAGAUUAUUACCCCAGGCCCCCAUGACAGAAGUGCGGCCUUGUCACAAAGGGCUCUUGAGGGCUGGGGAGGGGACAGCAGGGGAGCAGGCUGGACCAGAGCCCCUCCCCCACCCUCUAGCCUACGUCUCCCUCCCUCUACCCUCCUGGGCCUUCUAGACCUUAGCUAGUUUUCUAUGUCUUCCCCCUGGAAGCCAGAGGUCACCGGGUUCCUUGCGUCUCCUGGAUUCUUGGUUUGAAGCCAGCUAUCUCAUGGCCUUCGAAAGUCUGAAGUUCUCCCAGGAAUUUGAUCUAGUUCCCAGGGAUUCAUACCCUGAUCCUGCUCUGUCCUCAACUCUGAUUGCUGUUUUCACCUCACCUAGUGACUUUGCGUGUGUGUGUGAGGACACUGAAGUGCCAGUCUCCUAGCUGAUUUCAAUUAUGCAAUUCAGUGUUAUCGACUGUAGUCACCACGCCAGACAUUAGAACCUCCGACGUUUCUCAUCUGAGAGGUGAAAGUUUGUCUCCUUUUACCUGCCUCUCUCUAUUUCCCCCACGCCACAGCCGCUGGCAACCACUUUUCUAUUCUCUGUUUCUAUGAGUUGACCUUUCUUUUAUAGUUUUUCGAGUUCACAUGUAAGUGACCCCAGGCAGUAUCUGUGUUUCUAUGUCUGGCUUGUUUCAUUGAGCAUAACGCCCACCAGGUUCAUCCAUGUUGCACAAAUCUCAACUCCAUUUGUCCACAUAAGGUUUUCGUUUCAUCAAUCUGGAAUUCCCAUUUUAUUUUAUACUUAUUUGGUUUUGAUUAUUAACAUUGUUAUUUUUUCCAUCAACGUUUGCCAUCUUGACUCAGAACGACUCACCCAAAAAUUGAAAUGAAUCAUUUAUUAUUUAACAUAAGCAUAAUAAAUACUUAAGGAAU